rnacentral:rRNA from 1 species
CCUACGGGGGGCAGCAGUGGGGGAUAUUGCACAAUGGGGGGAACCCUGAUGCAGCGACGCCGCGUGGGUGAAGAAGCGCCUCGGCGCGUAAAGCCCUGUCAGCAGGGAAGAAAAUGACGGUACCUGAAGAAGAAGCCCCGGCUAACUACGUGCCAGCAGCCGCGGUAAUACGUAGGGGGCAAGCGUUAUCCGGAUUUACUGGGUGUAAAGGGGGCGCAGACGGGGAUGCAAGCCAGGGGUGAAAGCCCGGGGCUCAACCCCGGGACUGCUCUUGGAACUGCGUGGCUGGAGUGCAGGAGGGGCAGGUGGAAUUCCUGGUGUAGCGGUGAAAUGCGUAGAUAUCAGGAGGAACACCGGUGGCGAAGGCGGCCUGCUGGACUGCAACUGACGUUGAGGCCCGAAAGCGUGGGGAGCAAACAGGAUUAGAUACCCCGGUAGUC